rnacentral:lncRNA from 1 species
GGGAAAAUGAGGGGGGAAAUUGGGAAAAAUGAUGAAAAAUGAGGGGGAAAUGUCAAAAAAUUGGAAAAAUGAGGGAAAAAUUGGAAUUGAGGAGAAAAAAAGAUGGAAAAUGAGGGGGAAAUUGGGAAAUGAGGGGGAAAAUUGGGAAAAAAAGAUGGAAAAUGAGGGAGAAAAUCUAAAAAAUGUGGGAAAAUUGGGGGGAAUUGAAAAAUGAGGGGGAAAAUUGGAAAAUGAGGAGGAAAUUUGACAAAUGAGGGGGAAAUUGGGAAAUGAGGAGGAAAAUGAGGUGGAAAAAUACCAAAAUUAAGUGGAAAAAUAUGAAAAUUAAGUGGAAAAAUACCAAAAUUAGGUGGGAAAAUUCAAAAAUUAGGUGGGAAAAUACCAAAAUUAAGUGGGAAAAUAUCAAAAUUAAGUUGAAAAAUACCAAAAUUUGGUGGGAAAAUACCAAAAUUAGGUGGAAAAAUACCAAAAUUAGGUGGAAAAAUUCCAAAAUUAGGUGGAAAAUAAUUGGAAUGAGGGGAAAAAAAAUGGGAUCGGGGGAAUUCCCAUCCGGACACGACAAAUUCGGGAUUUGGGGUGGGAUGAGUUUAUUUCCAAUGGAAUCAGAGCAGAAUUAAAAAAAAACCCCAAAAUCCAACUUUUCCCUCCCCCAAAUUCCCUCGUUCCCGGUUUUUCCAGCGGAGUUUUCCAUGGAUUUCUCCAUCCCACUGUGAGUUUUCCACGGAUUUCUCAUUUUUGGGAGUUUUCCAUGGAUUUUUCGGCGAUGGGAAAGAGUUUUCCAUGAAUUUCUCAUUUAUGGGAAGAGUUUUCCAUGGAUUUCUCAUUUUUGGGCAUUUCUCCAUCCCACCGUGAUUUUUCCAUGGAUUUCUCGUUUUUGGGCAUUUUCCAUGGAUUUCUCCAUCCCACCGCGAGUUUUCCAUGGAUUUCUCAUUUUUGUGAGUUUUCCAUGGAUUUCUCAUUUUUGGGAGUUUUCCAUGGAUUUCUCAUUUAUGGGAAAAGUUUUCCAUGGAUUUCUCAUUUUUGGGCAUUUUCCAUGGAUUUCUCCAUCCCACCAUGAUUUUUCCAUGGAUUUCUCAUUUUUGGGAAAGAGUUUUCCAUGGAUUUCUCAUUUUUGGGAGUUUUCCAUGGAUUUCUCAUUUUUGGGAAAGAGUUUUCCAUGGGUUUCUCAUUUAUUGGAAAGAUUUUUCCAUGGAUUUCUCUGUGAAUCCAUCCCACAGGAAGUUUUCCAUGGAUUUCUCAUUUUUGGGAGUUUUCCAUGGAUUUCUCCAUCUCACGUUGAGUUUUCCAUGGAUUUCUCAUUUUUGGGAGUUUUCCGUGGAUUUCUCAGCAAUGGGAAAAGUCUUCCAUGGAUUUCUCGUUUUUGGAAGUUUUCCAUGGAUUUCUCAUUUUUGGGAGUUUUCUGUGGAUUUCUCGGCGAUGGGAAAGAGUUUUCCAUGGAUUUCUCAUUUUUGGGAAAGAGUUUUCCAUGGAUUUCUCCAUCCCACCGCGAAUUUUCCCUGGAAUUCUCAUUUUUGGGAGUUUUCCAUGGAUUUCUCAUUAUGGGAAAGAUUUUUCUAUGGAUUUCUCAUUUUUGGGAGUUUUCCAUGGAUUUCUCCAUCCCACCGCGAGUUUUCCAUGGAUUUCUCAUUAUGGGAAAGAGUUUUCCAUGGAUUUCUCAUUUAUGUGAAGGAGUUUUCCGCGGAUUUCUCCGAGACGUCGUUCCCGGGGUUGAUCCUUUGGGAAUUUCCUGCUCUGUGGGAUUCCUGCCAGGAACCUGCUCCUUUUUCCAUGGAUCCACAGCUCCUUGCCAAGGAAUUUUGGGAAUUUCCAGUCCAGCAGCUCGGAAUCGUCUCCGGAGUCGUUCCAGCCCCGGAGCUUCCCCGAAUUUGGCCACAAAAAGGCAAUUCUGA